rnacentral:rRNA from 1 species
CCUUGAAAUACCACCCUUUAAUGUUUGAUGUUCUAACGUUGGCCCGUAAUCCGGGUUGCGGACAGUGUCUGGUGGGUAGUUUGACUGGGGCGGUCUCCUCCUAAAGAGUAACGGAGGAGCACGAAGGUUGGCUAAUCCUGGUCGGACAUCAGGAGGUUAGUGCAAUGGCAUAAGCCAGCUUGACUGCGAGCGUGACGGCGCGAGCAGGUGCGAAAGCAGGUCAUAGUGAUCCGGUGGUUCUGAAUGGAAGGGCCAUCGCUCAACGGAUAAAAGGUACUCCGGGGAUAACAGGCUGAUACCGCCCAAGAGUUCAUAUCGACGGCGGUGUUUGGCACCUCGAUGUCGGCUCAUCACAUCCUGGGGCUGAAGUAGGUCCCAAGGGUAUGGCUGUUCGCCAUUUAAAGUGGUACGCGAGCUGGGUUUAGAACGUCGUGAGACAGUUCGGUCCCUAUCUGCCGUGGGCGCUGGAGAACUGAGGGGGGCUGCUCCUAGUACGAGAGGACCGGAGUGGACGCAUCACUGGUGUUCGGGUUGUCAUGCCAAUGGCACUGCCCGGUAGCUAAAUGCGGAAGAGAUAAGUGCUGAAAGCAUCUAAGCACGAAACUUGCCCCGAGAUGAGUUCUCCCUGACUCCUUGAGGGUCCUGAAGGAACGUUGAAGACGACGACGUUGAUAGGCCGGGUGUGUAAGCGCAGCGAUGCGUUGAGCUAACCGGUACUAAUGAACCGUGAGGCUUAAC